AUGUGAUUAAAGAUGUGUUCUCUGAUUGGCUGCCGGCAGCGUUUCGGAUUAACAUUGUAAAUAUUCUUCAGUAACUUUGGAAAUGAUCAUUUGUGAGUUUCAUAGUUUGGGAUUUUGGGAUCGUGGGCCUGUGCUGCCGUCUCCCAGCUGCUCCGCGGCUCGUUAACUAUUGACACGGUGUCCCUGCAGGCGGCCGCCCGCUCACCGGAGGCCUGGAGCGGCCUGUCCCGGCCUGGGCGGCCGCCUGCAGCCCUCCUGCGCUCCGACAGGGGGCAGUGCAGCUGAAACUGUCCAUGGUGCUGAAAACUGGGCCGAUUCUGUUGGUUGCCGAACACCUCGGGGGGCAACUGGACUCCGUCUGAGCCGCCGUCGCUCGUCAGCCGACAGAUGAUGAGAAGAUUGAGGCUGAAGCAUCGCUGAAGCAGCAUCAAAAUGAGUCAGGACGUGACAGAGACCAGAACACGAACUCGAUCCAAAGGGAUCCGCGCAUCAUCAGAACUGGCAGCACAGGAGAUGAAGCCAGAGUUGAGCAGCUGCCCCACCCCCGGCUGUGACGGCAAAGGUCACGUCAGUGGGCGAUACUCACGUCACAGAAGCGUGCCCAGCCGGUCAAACAGGCGGCAGGAGAAGACUUCACCCACGACACCUCAGACGAGGAGGAGGAAGAGGAGGAGGGAGAGGAGGAAGGAGAGGAGGAGGCAGAGGAGGAGGAGGAGCUGAGAGAAAAGAAGAAACCCACCUCAAAGAUCAGAGCAGAAGCAACAAAAGCAGAAAGUUCACCAGCAGGAGCUCCACCAGACUCAGAGGUUUGUUCUGCAGAUGAUGGAGCGACUUCAGGGAACCAAUGUGAGAACAAAGACGUCUCGCAGGAAGUUGCUGCUGAAGGUCACCAGCAGGAGGAAACAAGUCCAGAGGAGGAGGAGGAGGAGGAGGAAGAGGAGGGUGGCCUGACUACAAAAGAUCAGGUGU
rnacentral:lncRNA from 1 species